AGCAGCCAUGCACCAGUUGGUGCAGAGUGCACAGUACACACAAUACAGUUAUGGUUGAUCUGUGCUCCGCACACUGACGAGUGUUGCUCACCGCGACGGGGCAAAUCUCAUCAUGGGCCUGGGCGGCCUUUUACACAUGACUACAGUGGCGACCGGGGUGAGUAACACGUGACUAGCCUACCUCCGAAUGGGGAAUAACUCCGCGGAAACCGGGGCUAAUACCGCAUAACACCGCAAGGUCAAAGCAGCAAUGCCUUUGGACAGGGGGUCGCGGCUGAUUAGCUACUCGGCGGGGUAACGGCCCACCAAGGCGAAGAUCGGUAUCCGGCCUGAGAGGGCGCACGGACACACUGGAACUGAAACACGGUCCAGACUCCUACGGGAGGCAGCAGUGGGGAAUUUGGCGCAAUGGGGGAAACCCUGACGCAGCCACGCCGCGUGGAGGAUGAA
rnacentral:rRNA from 1 species